rnacentral:lncRNA from 1 species
ACUUUCUAGUGUUAUCCAAAGUAAGAGAGCAACCUAUGAUGUUCCUAUCGAGGUAUGGUAAUCUGUUGUUUGAGUUUCUUCAAUGUUAUACCGUUGUGUUUCUUAGGUCGUGCUGGAGGAAUUACAAGCAGAGGGGAUUUUGAACGUUACGGACGAUGAAGUGAUCGCACUCGGAAUGAGUCUUAUUUACUUUGGAGGUGAGUUUGAAAAAAUCUUCUUGUUCUUCUGUACUAAAAACAUUGUAAUUGUUGUGUAGGAGGCUAGCAUGGUCGGGCAAGGUCGGCGGGAUUGGAUGACUACUUACAAGUGUUUCACCAUCACCCUUUGUAAUUGCAGGAAAACUUGGGAUUAACUUAAGUGACGGUUUG